rnacentral:rRNA from 1 species
GACGAACGCUGGCGGCGCGCUUAACACAUGCAAGUCGAACGGAAAGGCCUGCUUUCCCUUGUGGAUUUCGGGUACUCGAGUGGCGAACGGGUGAGUAACACGUGAGUGAUCUGCCCCCAACUUGGGUAUAAGCCUGGGAAACUGGGUCUAAUUCCCGAUAGGACUGCAGGGUGGUGCCUGUGUUGGAAAACGAUUUUCUAGUGGUUGGGGAUGAGCUCGCGGCCUAUCAGCUUGUUGGUGGGGUAAUGGCCUACCAAGGCGGCGACGGGUAGCCGGCCUGAGAGGGUGGACGGCCACAUUGGGACUGGGAUACGGCCCAGACUCCUACGGGAGGCAGCAGUGGGGAAUAUUGCACAAGGGGCGGAAGCCUGAUGCAGCGACGCCGCGUGGGGGAUGACGGCCUUCGGGUUGUAAACUCCUUUCGACCGCGAGGAAGCCACCUGGUUGGAAGGGUGGUGACGGUAGUGGUAGAAGAAGCACCGGCUAACUACGUG